rnacentral:rRNA from 1 species
GACGAACGCUGGCGGCGUGCUUAACACAUGCAAGUCGAGCGAGAAAGCGCCUUCGGGCGUGAGUACAGCGGCGAACGGGUGAGUAACACGUGGGCAACCUGCCCCAGAGACUGGGAUAACGUCCCGAAAGGGACGCUAAUACCGGGUGAUGCGCGACCUGCCAAGUAGGUCGCGCCAAAUGGUAGCUUCGGCUUCUGCUCUGGGAUGGGCCCGCGCCGGAUUAGCUUGUUGGUGGGGUAACGGCUCACCAAGGCGACGAUCCGUAGCUGGUCUGAGAGGAUGACCAGCCACACGUGGGACUGAGACACGGCCCAGACUCCUACGGGUGGCUG